UUCUUUUUCUGUUUUCAAUGUAGAUGUGUAUGGGGGUAUUUGUGGGAAACACAAUAAGAUGAGUUGAUGUUAUUUCCGCACGAGAGGAGACUUGUUACUACUCUUGAUAGCCCUCACAUGACUGCAGUCUCAUGUUAUUUUGAUGCUCAUCCGUUGAAGCCAGGGAUGCUUACAGUGGCAACACGUGGAAGCCGGGUUCAUAUCUGGAGCACAUAGCCGCCUGGAAUGCUUGAUGGGGCGACAAAUGGAGCCUACUUUCUUAAAUAUCUCGGACAUCGUUUGGUUACAGGCGUUACAUAUAUUUAGGCUAUAUAUGUUUGUAUUAGUUUCUAUCAAGAGCUUC